rnacentral:rRNA from 1 species
AACGGCCGCGGUAUCCUAACCGUGCAAAGGUAGCAUAAUCAUUUGCCUAUUAAUUGUAGGCUAGAAUGAAGGGGUUAACGAAAUAAAGACUGUCUCAAUUAAUUACCUAAAAAUUAUUCUCUACCCGAAGAAAGGUAGAUAAUCUCGAAGGACAAGAAGACCCUAUAGAGCUUAAUUUUAAUUACAGGGCUAAACUAUAAAAAUAUUCGGUUGGGGCGACCCAGGGCUAAACAAUCACCCAUUAAAUAAAAGAUAAAUAAAUCUAAUAAAUGACCCUUUAAAGAUCACAAGAACAAGCUACCUUAGGGAUAACAGGCUAAUCCCACUUAAGAGUCCUUAUCAACAGUGGGGGUUGGCACCUCGAUGUUGGCUUAGG